UGGGGAAUAUUGGACAAUGGGCGAAAGCCUGAUCCAGCCAUGCCGCGUGAGUGACGAAGGCCUUAGGGUUGUAAAACUCUUUCGUCGGGGACGAUAAUGACGGUACCCGAAGAAGAAGCUCCGGCUAACUUCGUGCCAGCAGCCGCGGUAAUACGAAGGGAGCUAGCGUUGUUCGGAAUCACUGGGCGUAAAGCGCACGUAGGCGGAUAGUUAAGUCAGGGGUGAAAUCCUGGGGCUCAACCCCAGAACUGCCUUUGAUACUGGCUGUCUCGAGGUCGAGAGAGGUUGGUGGAAUUCCUAGUGUAGAGGUGAAAUUCGUAGAUAUUAGGAAGAACACCAGUGGCGAAGGCGGCCAACUGGCUCGAUACUGACGCUGAGGUGCGAAAGCUAGGGUAGCAAACGGGAUUAGAUACCCCCGUAGUCCCUGAGCGGGCUGGCAAGGCGCAU
rnacentral:rRNA from 1 species